rnacentral:rRNA from 1 species
CUGCUGCCUUCCGUAGGAGUUUGGACCGUGUCUCAGUUCCAAUGUGGGGGACCUUCCUCUCAGAACCCCUAUCCAUCGUCGUCUUGGUGGGCCGUUACCCCGCCAACUAACUAAUGGAACGCAUCCCCAUCGAUAACCGAAAUUCUUUAAUAUCAAGAUCAUGCGAUCUUGAUAUGCUAUCGGAUAUUAAUCUUUCUUUCGAAAGGCUAUCCCCGAGUUAUCGGCAGGUUGGAUACGUGUUACUCACCCGUGCGCCGGUCGCCA